GUAUGCUCAGUCAGUAAAGCAUGAGACUAUUCAUCUCAGGGUCGUGGGUUUGAUUCCCACGUGGCGCA